UCUUAGCCCCGAUGGGAGCGGCAUCCUUUUAUGGAGCAACAGCGGAAUAAAAGAUAGAGCGGACAGCGGGAUAAGGC
rnacentral:sRNA from 1 species